rnacentral:rRNA from 1 species
UGAGGAAUAUUGGUCAAUGGGCGGGAGCCUGAACCAGCCAAGCCGCGUGAGGGAGGAAGGCCCUAUGGGUCGUAAACCUCUUUUGUCAGGGAACAAAAGCGAGUAUGUAUACUAGUCUGAGUGUACCUGAAGAAAAAGCAUCGGCUAACUCCGUGCCAGCAGCCGCGGUAAUACGGAGGACGCGAGCGUUAUCCGGAUUUAUUGGGUCUAAAGGGUGCGUAGGCGGCGAUGCAAGUCAGCGGUAAAAGCCCGGGGCUCAACCCCGGCGAGCCGUUGAAACUGCAGUGCUAGAGAAGGCGAGAGGUACGCGGAAUGCGCAGUGUAGCGGUGAAAUGCUUAGAUAUUGCGCAGAACUCCGAUUGCGAAGGCAGCGUACUGGCGCCUGACUGACGCUGAGGCACGAAAGCGUGGGGAUCGAACAGGAUUAGAUACCC